UGGCCAGACUCCUACGGGAGGCAGCAGUGGGGAAUAUUGCACAAUGGGGGAAACCCUGAUGCAGCGACGCCGCGUGAGUGAAGAAGUAAUUCGUUAUGUAAAGCUCUAUCAGCAGGGAAGAAAAUGACGGUACCUGAGUAAGAAGCCCCGGCUAACUACGUGCCAGCAGCCGCGGUAAUACGUAGGGGGCAAGCGUUAUCCGGAUUUACUGGGUGUAAAGGGAGCGUAGACGGUUAUGUAAGUCUGGAGUGAAAGCCCGGGGCCCAACCCCGGGACUGCUUUGGAAACUGUGUAACUAGAGUACAGGAGGGGCAGGCGGAAUUCCUGGUGUAGCGGUGAAAUGCGUAGAUAUCAGGAGGAACACCAGUGGCGAAGGCGGAUGACUGGACGGCAACUGACGGUGAGGCGCGAAAGCGUGGGGAGCAAACAGGAUUAGAUACCCCAGUAAAG
rnacentral:rRNA from 1 species